AAGUCGUAACAAGGUUUCCGUAGGUGAACCUGCGGAAGGAUCAUUAACACGUAUCCAACGUUAAACAACCCUGUGAACUUUCAACACCGCCGGAAUGAGAUUAAUUUCCAACUCCGGUGAAGGCAAGUGACCUGGCACCUGGACCACAUCAAAGCUCUGACAGAGUGCCUCUGGAUCGUGCUUGAAGGGUGACGCAGUAACGAUCGCUGGAGGCCCACACGGCCGGCGACUGGGUCAGCGAGCUAACGCUCCCUCAACAACCACUUAACAUGACGACAGUCCUCUUUAACUUGAGUUGAGCUAUAACAAAAAACUAUACAACUGUUAACAAUGGAUAUCUUGGUUCUC
rnacentral:misc_RNA from 1 species